rnacentral:tRNA from 1 species
GGGCGCGUAGCUCGGCGGGAGAGCGCUCGUCUCACAGGCGAGAGGUCGCUGGUUCGAUCCCAGCCGCACCCACCA